rnacentral:rRNA from 1 species
AGGGCACCACCAGGAGUGGAGCCUGCGGCUUAAUUUGACUCAACACGGGGAAACUCACCCGGCCCGGACACCGUAAGGAUUGACAGAUUGAUAGCUUUUUCAUGAUUCGGUGGAUGGUGGUGCAUGGCCGUUCUUAGUUCGUGGAGCGAUUUGUCUGGUUUAUUCCGAUAACGAGCGAGACUCUAGCCUACUAAAUAGUUCGCACAUUGUCUCUGUGUGUGUGACUUCUUAGAGGGAUUUUCGGUGUUCAGCCGCACGAAAUUGAGCAAUAACAGGUCUGUGAUGCCCUUAGAUGUCCGGGGCUGCACGCGCGCUACACUGGCAAAAUCAGCGUGCUUGUCCUUCCCCGAAAGGGGUUGGUAAACCCUUGAAAAUUUGCCGUGAUUGGGAUUGGAAAUUGCAAUUAUUUUCCAUGAACGAGGAAUUCCAAGUAAGUGCGAGUCAUCAGCUCGCGUUGAUUACGUCCCUGCCCUUUGUACACACCGCCCGUCGCUGCCCGGGACUGAGCCAUUUCGAGAA